rnacentral:rRNA from 1 species
AUGUCUUUGAUCAGUGAUCGGUGUGUCGAUCGGUGUGAACGUUCGGUCAUCGGUGUGUCGAUCGCGGUGAUAUCUUCGCCUGACGAGGUAUUGUGUCCAUCCAUGCAUUUGCCUCUGCAUCCGAGGCUUCAAGAUGACCAAUAUGCCAAGAGUUUCAUAAAAUUUGAAGCUAUGGUUGAUUUUUUUUUUCUUAAAAUUUGGGAGGUUUUAGGAAUUUUCUGGAAAAAAAUGACGCAUGUCGUCCUCCGAUUGGCCAGAACUGAAUUUCUAAUGAAAUAUAAAGUCAAAAGGCAAAUAUCAUGGCAUUGGUGGAUUUUGAGAAAGUGUUUGACACUAUGGAACACGACGCUAUCCUGCAAAUUUUUAGAGUUUAAAGGUUUGAUGAGAAAUGGGGAGCUUGGAUCAAGGAGAUCUUAUCCUCUCGAAUACCUUCCAUCCUUUUGA